rnacentral:tRNA from 3 species
GGCAGGGUAGCUCAGCUGGUUAGAGCACAAGAUUCAUAUCCUUGCGAUCGUGAGUUCGAAUCUCACCCCUGCUACCA